UGAGUGUAUGUGGAUGGGUAAGACACUCUCUCUCCCAUCCUGGGAGUAACUGCUUGUGUUAGUUCCUUUCUGUAGGCUGUGUGAGUGUGUGUUUGGGUGUGUGUGUGAGAGAGAGAGAGAGAGAAAGGGAGAGAGUAGCGCUUUACGUUUCACCUCCCUGUCUCCCUGUUCCCUGUCCUUCCUCUCCUCUCUACUCCUCUCUCGUUCCCUCUCCUGGACUACCCAUUGGGACCUACCCAGACUCCUUCCCUGCCUGGACCCUCCACUCUCCAUCCCUGUGACUCUCCUCAUCUGUCCAUCCCUCCCUCUCCCAGGUCAAGUCUCCGGGUGGAUCAGAAGUGGAGAGGUGGAGUCUUCCAUGUUAUUCUGGAAUGUGGGAUAAGACAGGGUCCCAUGACAUGGACCCCUCUUUGAAUGGGUUGAUGCUGGUUCUGCUGGAGUGGAGCUGAUGAUCUGAACCAGUCUGUCAGCCACCUAGCUCCCCCUCCUCUAAACACAACCACUGCCCAUGUCCUGAUCCCAGUGGUCCAGCUUGUCUG